rnacentral:rRNA from 1 species
GGCGUGCUAUACAUGCAAGUCGAACGAACUCUGGUUAAUGAUUGAAGGUGCUUGCACCUGAUUGAUUUAACAUUUGAGUGAGUGGCGAACUGGUGAGUAACACGUAGGAAACCUGCCCAGAAGCGGGGGAUAACACCUGGAAACAGAUGCUAAUACCGCAUAACAACUCGGACCGCAUGGUCUGAGUUUGAAAGAUGGCUUCGGCUAUCACUUUUGGAUGGUCCUGCGGCGUAUUAGCUAGAUGGUGAGGUAAAGGCUCACCAUGGCAAUGAUACGUAGCCGACCUGAGAGGGUAAUCGGCCACAUUGGGACUGAGACACGGCCCAAACUCCUACGGGAGGCAGCAGUAGGGAAUCUUCCACAAUGGACGAAAGUCUGAUGGAGCAACGCCGCGUGAGUGAAGAAGGGUUUCGGCUCGUAAAACUCUGUUGUUAGAGAAGAACAUAUCUGAGAGUAACUGUUCAGGUAUUGACGGUAUCUAACCAGAAAGCCACGGCUAACUACGUGCCAGCAGCCGCGGUAAUACGUAGGUGGCAAGCGUUGUCCGGAUUUAUUGGGCGUAAAGCGAGCGCAGGCGGUUUUUUAAGUCUGAUGUGAAAGCCUUCGGCUUAACCGGAGAAGUGCAUCGGAAACUGGGAAACUUGAGUGCAGAAGAGGACAGUGGAACUCCAUGUGUAGCGGUGAAAUGCGUAGAUAUAUGGAAGACACCAGUGGCGA